rfam:Pongo abelii chromosome 4.
UCUCAGGUUUUCUUCAAAACUACAGACAGUUUUCAAAAGAAGACAU